rnacentral:rRNA from 1 species
UACGGGGGGGGCAAGCGUUGUUCGGAAUUACUGGGCGUAAAGGGUGCGUAGGCGGUCCGCUAAGUUGGAUGUGAAAACUCUGGGCUUAACCCAGAGCCUGCAUUCAAAACCGACGGGCUAGAGUUCUGGAGGGGGUAGCGGAAUUCCUGGUGUAGCGGUGAAAUGCGUAGAUAUCAGGAGGAACACCGGUGGCGAAGGCGGCUACCUGGACAGAAACUGACGCUGAGGCACGAAAGCUAGGGGAGCAAACAGG